UACGUAGGGUGCAAGCGUUGUCCGGAAUUAUUGGGCGUAAAGAGCUCGUAGGCGGUUUGUCGCGUCGGAUGUGAAAACCUGGGGCUCAACCCCGGGCCUGCAGCCGAUACGGGCAAACUAGAAUUCGGUAGGGGAGACUGGAAUUCCUGGUGUAGCGGUGAAAUGCGUUGAGAUCGGAAGGAACGCCCGUGGCGAAAGCGAGGUCCUGGACGUUUACUGACGCUGAGACGCGAAAGCCAGGGGAGCGAACGGG
rnacentral:rRNA from 1 species